UAGGGAAUCUUCGGCAAUGGGGGCAACCCUGACCGAGCAACGCCGCGUGAGUGAAGAAGGUUUUCGGAUCGUAGAGCUCUGUUGUAAGAGAAGAACGUGUGUGAGAGUGGAAAGUUCACACAGUGACGGUAACUUACCAGAAAGGGACGGCUAACUACGUGCCAG
rnacentral:rRNA from 1 species